rnacentral:rRNA from 1 species
UGUCAUUCACACACUAUCCCGGUCGCAAGAUCCAGGAGUGUGGAUGGGUAGGAGAGCGUUGUGUAACUAGUGAAGCGGCGGAGGAAUCCAGCCGUGGAAGUUACACAAGUGAGAAUGUAGACAUGAGUAGCGAAAGACGGGUGAGAAACCCGUCCACCGAAUGACCAAGGGUUCCUGAGCCAGGCUAAUCCGCUCAGGGUAAGUCGGGUCCUAAGGCGAGGCCGACAGGCGUAGUCGAUGGACAACUGGUUGAUAUUCCAGUACCCGCAAUAAACCGACCGUGACGAAUCAACAAUGCUAAGUGUUUGAAGUUGGCUAGCAAUAGCUGAUGGAGCGCACAACCCAAGUUGGUAGUAGUCAAGCAAUGGAGAGACGCAGGAAGGUAGUCCAACCCAGGCGAUGGUUGUCCUGGGGUAAGAGUGUAGGAGGUUCUGUAGGCAAAUCCGCAGAACAAUCUCUGAGACUUAAUGCCGAGCCGUAAGGCGAAGUGGAUGAUCCUAUGCUGCCAAGAAAAUCUUCUAGCGAGGUUUAUAGUGGCCCGUACCCGAAACCGACACAGGUGGUCAGGUAGAGAAUACCAAGGUGAUCGAGAGAAUCGUGGUGAAGGAACUCGGCAAAAUACCCCCGUAACUUCGGGAGAAGGGGGGCUAAUUUUUGUGUAGAGGUUUUCCUUCGAAGCAUAAGUUAGACGCAGAGAAUAGGCUCAAGCGACUGUUUACCAAAAACACAGGUCCGUGCGAAGUUGCAAAACGAUGUAUACGGACUGACGCCUGCCCGGUGCUGGAAGGUCAAGGGGACUGGUUAGCUCUUCGGAGCGAAGCCGAGAACUUAAGCCCCAGUAAACGGCGGUGGUAACUAUAACCAUCCUAAGGUAGCGAAAUUCCUUGUCGGGUAAGUUCCGACCUGCACGAAUGGCGUAACGACUUGAGCGCUGUCUCCACCAUGAACUCGGCGAAAUUGCAGUACGAGUAAAGAUGCUCGUUACGCGCGGAAAGACGGAAAGACCCCGGGACCUUUACUAUAUCUUGAUAUUGGUACUCGGAACGUUUUGUGUAGCAUAGGUGGGAGACUUUGAAGCGGCACGCCAGUGUUCGUGGAGUCAAAAAAUGAAAUACCACUCUGAACGUUUUGAGUUUCUAACCUCGGCCCAUUAUCUGGGUCAGGGACAGUGUCUGGUGGGUAGUUUAACUGGGGCGGUUGCCUCCCAAAAAGUAACGGAGGCGCUCAAAGGUUCCCUCAGCCUGGUUGGUAAUCAGGUGUCGAGUGUAAGUGCACAAGGGAGCUUAACUGUGAGACAGACAUGUCAAGCAGGUGCGAAAGCAGGAACUAGUGAUCCGGCGGUGGCUUGUGGAAGCGCCGUCGCUCAACGGAUAAAAGGUACCCCGGGGAUAACAGG